AACGAACGCUGGCGGCAUGCCUAACACAUGCAAGUCGAACGAGACCUUCGGGUCUAGUGGCGCACGGGUGCGUAACGCGCGGGAACCUGCCCUUAGGUUCGGAAUAACUCCCCGAAAGGGGUGCUAAUACCGGAUAAUGUCUUCGGACCCAAGAUUUAUCGCCUCUGGAUGGGCCCGCGUUGGAUUAGCUAGUUGGUAGGGUAAAAGCCUACCAAGCCGACGAUCCAUAGCUGGUCUGAGAGGAUGAACAGCCACACUGGGACUGAGACACGGCCCAGACUCCUACGGGAGGCAGCAGUGGGGAAUAUUGGACAAUGGGCGAAAGCCUGAUGCAGCAAUGCCGCGUGAGCGAUGAAGUCCUUAGGGUUGUAAAGCUCUUUUACCCGGGAUGAUAAUGACAGUACCGGGAGAAUAAGCGCCGGCUAACUCCGUG
rnacentral:rRNA from 1 species